AACGAACGCUGGCGGCAGGCCUAACACAUGCAAGUCGAACGCUGUAGCAAUACAGAGUGGCAGACGGGUGAGUAACGCGUGGGAACCUUCCCAAUGGUGCGGAAUAGCCUAGGGAAACUUGGGGUAAUACCGCAUAAGCCCUUAGGGGGAAAGAUUUAUCGCCAUUGGAUGGGCCCGCGUCGGAUUAGCUAGUUGGUGAGGUAAUGGCUCACCAAGGCAACGAUCCGUAGCUGGUUUGAGAGAAUGACCAGCCACACUGGGACUGAGACACGGCCCAGACUCCUACGGGAGGCAGCAGUGGGGAAUCUUGGACAAUGGGCGCAAGCCUGAUCCAGCCAUGCCGCGUGAGUGACGAAGGCCUUAGGGUUGUAAAGCUCUUUUGCCGGGGACGAUAAUGACGGUACCCGGAGAAUAAGUCCCGGCUAACUUCGUGCCAGCCGCCGCGGUAA
rnacentral:rRNA from 1 species